rnacentral:lncRNA from 1 species
GUUAGGCAUUUAGCCAAUAAUCACACAAGUGAAUAAAUAACUACACAUUGUGAUAGCCAUUGUGAAUGAAACUAAAGUGCUGGUGAAUGAAUGUAAUAGAGGGCCCUACAGGAACCAGAUUUUACUAGAAGGUUAAGGGGUAUUUUCCUAAGGAAGUAAUAGUAGGCAAUGGCCAGAUGAAGGGUGGUAGCAAAGGUAGUAUUCCUGAAAGAAACAUCCAUUCAAAAAGCCAUGACACAGGAAAGGGCUUGGCAAGUUAAAGGAAGACAAAGGUGGCUGUCUUGGAUGGAGCUUAGUGAGAAGGGGACAGGAGAGACAGUCAGGAGCCAGGGCAGACAGGGACUGGACUCCCAAAGAGCCUUGUCUUGUUUGAAUUUCCAGUUCUAUUUUAUGGCAGCAGCAAUCACUGAAAGCUUUUCCAGAUUACCUUGACUCUAAGAUUUAGCUUCACUCUGAUGUCCUCUCUUUAAGGUCUGCAAAGCAAAGCAAAAGAAGUUGUCUGAGGAAAUUUAAUUGCAGUGACUAAUGUAAAAAUAGAUCAACAGGAAAACAAUUUUCUUUGGGAUGGGGAUGAAAGUAAUGGUUCUUGAUGUUGGCUGCAGAGUAGAAUCAUUAGGAGAGUUGUGAAAACUCCUAUUAUCUUGGUUCCUCCUUUUUGAGUAGUCAUCUAACUGGUCUAAAGUGAUUCAGAUGUGAAACCAAGGUUGAAAUCAUUAGAAAGAACAGCUAAAAAACUUGAAGUUUUAAUAGUUUUUAUUCUACCACAGUUGCAUUCAUUUUUAGAAGGAGUUUUUAAAAACAGCCAAUAUGCUUUCCAGGAACUGCUGUUCAUGCUUCACAAAAG